ensembl:lncRNA
AAAUAAGGUGCGUGAUACAGAGAAAGACUGACAGAGUGAAAGUAUGAAAGAUUAAAAAAAAGAAAGAAAGAAAGAAAGAAAGAAAGAGAGAAAGAAAGAAAGAGAGAGAGAGAGAGAGGGGGGGGGGUAAAGACAGUUAGGGCUGUAUGUGAUUUGAGAUAGAGAUGAGAAAGUGGUGACAUUGGGGCGUAACAGUGUCCAGAGACAUUUUAAUAACUGGGUCAGUUGAGGAGAGGAAGUGGACAGCUGUUUGACAUUCGACUCGCCUCCCGUUAAAAUAACCUGCGGCCGCGCGCUCGCUUACAUGCUCUCUCACGCCUCAGACGACACCAGGAGACGCUCUACUCUCUCACGUCUCAGACGACACCAUGAGACGCUCUACUCUCUCACAUCUCAGACGACACCAUGAGACGCUCUACUCUCUCACGCCUCAGACGACACCAGUCACUCACACCCGGAGAGUGAGACGCUCUACUCUCUCACGUCUCAGACGACACCAGUCACUCACACCCGCACUCUUUCAUGCACUCAUUCACUCACUCGUUCAUUCACUCGUUCAUUCACUCGUUCAUACACUUGUUCAUGCACUCCUCCAUUCACUCGUUCAUACACUUCUUUAUUCACUCGUUCAUUCACUCGUUCAUUCACUCGUUCAUACACUUGUUCAUGCACUCCUCCAUUCACUCUUUCAUGCACUUCUUUAUUCACUCGUUCAUUCA